rnacentral:rRNA from 1 species
CUGCUGCCUUCCGUAGGAGUUUGGGCCGUGUCUCAGUCCCAAUGUGGCCGGCCACCCUCUCAGGUCGGCUACUGAUCGCUGCCUUGGUGGGCCGUUACCCCGCCAACUAGCUAAUCAGACGCGGAUCCAUCCCAUACCACCGGAGUUUUUCACACUGCGCCAUGCGGCGCCGUGCGCUUAUGCGGUAUUAGCAGUCAUUUCUAACUGUUAUCCCCCGGUAUGGGGCAGGUUAUCCACGCGUUACUCACCCGUCCG